CAGGCUCUCUCCUGGCAAGGCUGAUACCAGGGCUGCGUAGCUCUGCUAAUUUGGGUGGGUAGUCUGAUUGUAUCAAAAUGCAUGCAUUCUCAUCCGUUUAUACAGUUUGAAAACUCUCAAACAUACUGUAGUUAGUACACAGGUAUGUAGUUAGAUAAAUAUCCCUCAUGGAGCCACAGCUCCCCUGCAUUGCUCUGUAAUUCAGAUACAGGCAUAUUGCAAUCCUAGUUUUGAAUAUAUCCAUGAUAAUCCUAUCUGAAUAAUAGACAUCACAGUGCAUACUGUAGAUAUCGUAUAAAAUCAUAGACAGAUCCACAACACUGUCCACUUACACGUCCAUGUGUUUGUCCUUUGCUCUCUUUCGCUCUGAGAAAAGGCGAGAAUUCUGCAUCCCCAGAGUCACAUGUAUUACUCCUGUCCCUGUCUGAGCUGGAUCCGAGCGAGUGGAGCUGAGGUGUGAAAGGAAUAGCAAUGACUGCGGAAGGGGCAGAACCUCUGAAAAAGUGUGUGUGUUGAUCAUUUCUAAAGGGACUGCUGCUCAGCCAAGCAGAGAGCUAGUGAUUAGAGCUGUGGUUACUGCUUAGUGGAGGAAGUUGAGCUGCUUCCAGUGUGUGUGUGUGCAUAUGUUCGUAUUGGACAAGAUAGUUAUGAUCUAUGUCGGUUUCAGCCCUACAGACUGCACCUGUUAUCAUCAACAGUGAUUAGUGUUACAGUAAGACCAUUUGACUAUAUACUGAGCACUGCUUUUUCACUGGCUAUAGUUUUUCUCUCUGCCUGUAGAGAUUGCCUCGUUCAUAGUCUAUUUAAUGACAGUAGAUCACGGCCUAUUUAAUGCUUAGGCCUGUCCAGUCACAGUGGUGUGCAUGCGUGUAUGUAUAUGUUAGUGAGUGAGUGAGUGAGUGAGUGAGAGAGAAAGAGAGAGAGAGAAAGAAAGAGAGAGAGAGAAAGAAAGAGAAAGAAAGAGGAGAUAUAUUACUAGACUUCUACUUUGUUUGACAAUGUUAACAUGAAUGACUUU
rnacentral:lncRNA from 13 species